rfam:Dictyostelium discoideum mitochondrial DNA, complete genome.
AAAAAAAUGAGUUUGAUUCUGGCUCCGAAUGAAUGCUAUCAGUGGGCUUUAUACAUGCAAGUUGAACGCUAUUGAAAAAUAGAGUAGCAAAAAGGUGAGUAAUGCAUAUGAAUUUUAAUAAUAAUUUUGGGAAUAAAAGAAGAAAUCCAGAAUAAAAAGAAAGAGGAACUUGAAAAACAGUAAGACUCGUUAUUAUAAAAGCGUAUGUCGAAUUAGGCAGUUGGUGGGGUAAAGGCUUACCAAACCUGAGAUUCGUAGGUGGUUCGAGAGAAUGAUCAUCCACAUUGGUAUUGAAAGAACGACCAAACUCUGAAGAGGCUGCAGUAAGGAAUAUUGGACAAUGAGCGCAAGCUUGAUCCAGCUACACUGAGUGAGGGAAGAAGUAAAGCGUAAACCUCUUUUAAUAAGGAAGAUAAUGACAAAAAUUAAAGAAGAAGUCCCGGCUAAUUUCGUGCCAGCCGCCGCGGUAAUACGGAGGGGGCAAGCAUUAUUCGUAAGGAUUGGGCGUAAAGGGUGCGUAGGCUGGUUCUCAAAGGUAUUAUAUGAAAAACACUGAAAAAAGAGGUGUGGGUAUAAAAACAAACAAAGAACCUAGAGUAAAGAUGAUGUAUUUAGAAGAACUAAUCUAGAGGUAAAAUUCAAUUUAGAUUAGUUUGACUGACAGUUGGCGAAGGCAAAAUACAAGCAAUACUGACGCUAAAGCACGAAGGUUCAGGGAGCAAAUCGGAUUAGAGACCCGAGUAGUCUGAACAGUAAACGAUGAGUGUUCAAUAUUCUAAAAAGUAUUUGAGUUAACACGUUAAACACUCCGCCUGAGUAGUACGAUCGCAAGAUUGAAACUCAAGGUAAUUGACGGAACUUUGCGCAAGCAGUGGAUUAUGUUCAUUAAUUUGAUACAACACGAAAAAUCUUACCCUCCAUUGAAUGACAUAUAUAAAACAUGAAACAAAUGUGAAGAAUAGAAGCAGACAAGGUUCUAUUAAAAUAAAUGUCUAACAGGUGUUGCAUGGCUGUCGUCAGUUCGUGCUGUGAGGUGUAACAUUAAGUUGUGAAACGAACGAAAUCCUUAAGUUCAAUUACGAUAUAUAAUCGAGAAAUGGACAGAAGAGUGUGACAUAAAUUAAAUCACAUUGGUAGUUGAGGAAGAUGUCAAGUCAGUAUGGCCCUUAUAGGAGGGGCUUGAAAUGUAAUACAAUGGUUUCUACAAAAGGAAGCGAAAGUGCAAGCUGGAGCAAAACCUAAAAAGAAAUCUUAGUUUGGAUUUAUUUCUGCAACUCGAAAUAAUGAAAGCGGAAUUGCUAGUAAUCGUAGAUCAUAAGGCUUCGGUGAAUAGUUGUCAAAGUUAGUACAUACCGCCCGUCACACCACGGAAAUCAAUCUUUUUCAGAUACAUUAUUAUGUUAAUUAUCUAAAGUUCUUAGGGUAUAACAGUCUCUUUUGAAGAGCAAUUAGAAUGGAGGAGGUUAAUUGUUAAUUAUCGAACAAUAGAGGGGUAACUGGGGUAAAGUCGUAACACGGUAGCUGUUGGGGAACCAGUAGCUGGAAGUAAAUAUAU